GGAUUAGAUACCCUGGUAGUCCACGCCGUAAACGAUGUCUACUUGGAGGUUGUGGCCUUGAGCCGUGGCUUUCGGAGCUAACGCGUUAAGUAGACCGCCUGGGGAGUACGGUCGCAAGAUUAAAACUCAAAUGAAUUGACGGGGGCCCGCACAAGCGGUGGAGCAUGUGGUUUAAUUCGAUGCAACGCGAAGAACCUUACCUACUCUUGACAUCCAGAGAAGCCAGCGGAGACGCAGGUGUGCCUUCGGGAGCUCUGAGACAGGUGCUGCAUGGCUGUCGUCAGCUCGUGUUGUGAAAUGUUGGGUUAAGUCCCGCAACGAGCGCAACCC
rnacentral:rRNA from 1 species